UGCUAGUCGUGCGCUUCAGCCAAAACGAGGCGCGGCAUACAGCUCAGUAACACGUGGCUAAUCUGCCCUUGGGACGAGAACAACCCCGGGAAACUGGGGCUAAUUCUCGAUAGGUGAAGAACUCUGGAAUGAGUCUUCGCUUAAAAAGCUUCACGUUAUGCUCGUGAAGUCGCCCAAGGAUGAGGCCGCGACCGAUCAGGUUGUUGGUGAGGUAAUGGCUCACCAAGCCUUUUACCGGUGCGGGCCGUGAGAGCGGGAGCCCGGAGAUGGGCACUGAGACAAGGGCCCAGGCCCUACGGGGCGCAGCAGUCGCGAAAACUUUGCAAUACACGAAAGUGUGACAGGGCUAUCCCGAGUGCCAUCCGCUGAGGAAGGCUUUUACCCAGUAUAGAUCGCUGGGGGAAUAAGGAGAGGGCAAGUCUGGUGUCAGCCGCCGCGGUAAUACCAGCUCUCCGAGUGGUGUGGAUGUUUAUUGGGCCUAAAGCAUCCGUAGCUGGCUAAGUUAGUCCCUUGUUAAAUCCACCGAAUUAAUCGUUGGAUUGCGGGGGAUACUGCUUGGCUAGGGGACGAGAGAGGCAGACGGUAUUUCCGGGGUAGGGGUGAAAUCCUAUAAUCCCGGGAAGACCACCAGUGGCGAAGGCUGUCUGCUAGAACGCGCCCGACGGUGAGGGAUGAAAGCUGGGGGAGCGAACCGGAUUAGAUACCCGGGUAGUCCCAGCUGUAAACGAUGCAGCUAGGUGUUUGGACGGCCACGUGCCGUUCUAGUGCCGCAGGGAAGCUGUUAAGCCUGCCGCCUGGGGAGUACGAUCGCAAGAUUGAAACUUAG
rnacentral:rRNA from 1 species